rnacentral:misc_RNA from 1 species
UAUGUUUCCCAUUUACCUUGGGAAUUUGAAUACUACCACUACGGAGUUGGAAAAUAUCUUCACCAUUUGUCCUUGCAGAUGAUACCUCCAUAACAUUCUUGAGGAUUUUCUCCCACGAAUGUUUGGUUCCCUUUGAGUAAUCUGCUAAUUCUUCCACUGUGCUAUCCCCUUCAGACUCAGCAGCAAAUUCCUUAACUGAAUCCACAGUUAUUUCAGAUGCUGAUAGUGCAGCUUGCUCUCUCAAAAAUUUCAUAAUCUUGUGCCGGGCGCAACGAGUUUUUGCAUGUUGAAGCCACUGUUUAUGUCUCUCGAAAGCAGACUUGCUGGAGAGACCAUUGUAAGUGAUAAUCUCUACAACUUCUGCGUUUGCAAGUACAUGCAUUGGCUUGACAAGAUUACCAUUCACCUUAGCAGCCACCAUUUUAUUGCCAAUUUCAG